AAUAGAUACCCAGGUAGUCCAUGCCGUAAACGUUGGGCACUAGGUGUGGGGCUCAUUCCACGAGUUCCGUGCCGCAGCAAACGCAUUAAGUGCCCCGCCUGGGGAGUACGGCCGCAAGGCUAAAACUCAAAGAAAUUGACGGGGGCCCGCACAAGCGGCGGAGCAUGCGGAUUAAUUCGAUGCGACGCGAAGAACCUUACCAAGGCUUGACAUACACCGGAAAAGUGCAGAGAUGUGCUCCCCGUAAGGUCGGUGUACAGGUGGUGCAUGGUUGUCGUCAGCUCGUGUCGUGAGAUGUUGGGUUAAGUCCCGCAACGAGCGCAACCCUCGUCCCAUGUUGCCAGCGGGUUAUGCCGGGGACUCAUGGGAGACUGCCGGGGUCAACUCGGAGGAAGGUGGGGAUGACGUCAAAUCAUCAUGCCCCUUAUGUCUUGGGCUUCACGCAUGCUACAAUGGCCGGUACAAAGGGCUGCGAUACCGCAAGGUGGAGCGAAUCCCAAAAAGCCGGUCUCAGCUCGGAUUGGGGUCUGCAAC
rnacentral:rRNA from 1 species